rnacentral:rRNA from 1 species
AAUCAACGCUGGCGGCGUGCCUAACACAUGCAAGUCGAACGCGAAAGUCCCGCAAGGGAUCAGUAGAGUGGCAAACGGGUGAGUAACGCGUGGGUGACCUGCCUUCGAGCGGGGGAUAACGUUCCGAAAGGAAUGCUAAUACCGCAUACGUCCUACGGGAGAAAGCAGGGGAUCUUCGGACCUUGCGCUAAUAGAUGAGCCUAAGUCGGAUUAGCUAGUUGGUGGGGUAAAGGCCUACCAAGGCGACGAUCUGUAGCGGGUCUGAGAGGAUGAUCCGCCACACUGGGACUGAGACACGGCCCAGACUCCUACGGGAGGCAGCAGUGGGGAAUAUUGGACAAUGGGCGGAAGCCUGAUCCAGCCAUGCCGCGUGUGUGAAGAAGGCCUUAUGGUUGUAAAGCACUUUAAGCGAGGAGGAGGCUACUUUAGUUAAUACCUAGAGAUAGUGGACGUUACUCGCAGAAUAAGCACCGGCUAACUCUGUGCCAGCCGCCGCGGUAACAC